CAACGUGCCUGGUCUCCACUGCAAAGGCUACUUUGGCUUGCAGGCUGAGAGGUUCUUUCUGGAAAAGACAACAGCAGCGUCCACCCUGAAGUUUAUUAUGCAGAUUAGAGACAAUAAGACCAAACAGUCUACACAGAAUGAGAGGCAUCUCUAGCCUCACCCAAGGUUUUCAAGGGUACGGUGGGGGAAGAGGUUGGCAUUCAGCCUUCCCCGCUGGAAGCAUAGAAAAUUCUCCAUGCGAAGCCCAGGGGGAGCUCUGGUCCAACCCUGGCUCCCCAAGUGGGAAUAAAUAUUUAUUGAGAGUCAGGCAACCUUACCAAAUUUCUUCCCGAC
rnacentral:lncRNA from 1 species